AAUAUAUGACUCAAGAUUUCAUGAUACGUGCUAUUUGAAGUGUGACCAUAUUGGUAAUCAGUAUCAGUUACAUUCUCGAGGCCAUAUAAAUAAGCACUGACAGCAGAUACACUUAAAACACGUAAUACCGUUUAACUAAAUAUGGUAAUUAAGUCUUUUAGUUUUUAAACUAUAUUUCCUCAUCGAAAAUCAUCUAUUUGUUCUAGUUUAAAUAAAUUGAUGUAGUAGAUUCGUAUCAAUUAAAAGAGAUCAAGGUAAAUUCUGCAGUGGCGUGUUCAGUAUUUCAUAAGAAGGUCAGGUUGUAAUAGCAGGAAAGGAUUCCCGCAGCGUCACGAAUCAACAGGGAAAAAUUGUAUGCUUUCACAUGAAGAAAAAGUCCCUGAAAUCGAGGGUGCUGCUGGUUUACUGCACGUGUCUCUUCCAACAGUGUCCCCAACAGUGUUUGGACACCUAUGAUUCCCCGUUACUAUAUAUCACAUUGGAUUCAUACCAAGUGUGGUUUAAUAACACAGGGUGAAAGACUGAAAUACAAUUUUUAAGACUAUUCGAGUACAAUGUCAUAUGAGCCACGAACGGUAGAUAACUUUGACAAAAGCUAUUUGUAGUAAAUAUAAAAUAAUAAUUAACACGAUUAGCUGCAUAUUAGGGUGCUGUUAUUAAAGAACAAUGAGAUAAUUAUUUUUCAAAUCUAAAAUUAUUUAUUAUACGACAUAUUGAAAUUUUAGAAAAAGUCUACGAUCAUAAACAUAACGUACAGUUAGUAGGUUUAUAAAAUAAUAUUGCGUCAUUUGUUGAUACUCAUAAUUGCACAGUAGAAUUGUGAAAAACGUAAGUGAGGGAGAUCAUUGAAUAACAAGCAACGCAAUGUUGUUCAAUAAUUCCACAAUACUUAAUUCAAAAGUUUGUAACAAUAUUGGAGUUUCAUUCGAUAAAGAAAUUGAUAUUUAUUAUAAGAUAUUGAACUUCACAUUAAAAAAGUUUAUUCGCAUGUGUGUGGUCUACGUUCAUAUGACUUAUAGUCGUGGCGGCAUGUUGAACUUGUCAAACAGCCUAUAAGUUCACGAACAUCGCAGUACAAUUUACUUAUAUAUAUUGUAAAGUCAACUAUAGUCAUUAAAUUCAAUGGACGUUGUUUUUAAAUAAAUAGAUUUCUUAUUGUUUUUGUAAAGAUUUGUAGUUAACUAUCUUGAAAUUUUAUUUGAGUUAAAAUUAUUUUCACUAAAUGCUUUUAAAAGUCAUUUUCGUAAUUACUUGUUCUCUAAAGUUAUUACAAUGCAAAAUUUUACAUGAAACAUAU